UCGGAACGUACCUCGUAGUGGGGGAUAACUCGGCGAAAGCCGUGCUAAUACCGCAUAUGCUCUACGGAGGAAAGCAGGGGACCUGAGAGGGCCUUGUGCUAUGGGAGCGGCCGAUGUCCGAUUAGCUUGUUGGUGGGGUAAUGGCCUACCAAGGCGACGAUCGGUAGCUGGUCUGAGAGGAUGAUCAGCCACACUGGGACUGAGACACGGCCCAG
rnacentral:rRNA from 1 species